rnacentral:rRNA from 1 species
CCAUGCAGAAAAAAACAGCCUGACUAUGCCCGAUCUCGUCUGAUCUUGGAAGCUAAGCAGGUUUGGGCCUGGUUAGUACUUGGAUGGGAGACCGCCUAGGAAUACCAGGUGCUGUAAGCU